rnacentral:rRNA from 1 species
UAAGCGUACACGGUGGAUGCCCUGGCAGUCAGAGGCGAUGAAGGGCGUGCUAAUCUGCGAUAAGCGCCGGUAAGGUGAUAUGAACCGUUAUAACCGGCGAUACCCGAAUGGGGAAACCCAGUGUGACUCGUCACACUAUCAUUAACUGAAUCCAUAGGUUAAUGAGGCGAACCGGGGGAACUGAAACAUCUAAGUACCCCGAGGAAAAGAAAUCAACCGAGAUUCCCCCAGUAGCGGCGAGCGAACGGGGAGGAGCCCAGAGCCUGAAUCAGCAUGUGUGUUAGUGGAAGCGUCUGGAAAGGCGCGCGAUACAGGGUGACAGCCCCGUACACAAAAGCGCAUGUGCUGUGAGCUCGAUGAGUAGGGCGGGACACGUGGUAUCCUGUCUGAAUAUGGGGGGACCAUCCUCCAAGGCUAAAUACUCCUGACUGACCGAUAGUGAACCAGUACCGUGAGGGAAAGGCGAAAAGAACCCCGGCGAGGGGAGUGAAAAAGAACCUGAAACCGUGUACGUACAAGCAGUGGGAGCCCCACCACCAAAGCAUUUGCUGUACCGCGUUGACGGAGCGAAGCGACGUCAAACCGAUAAAACAGCAGUGUAAAGUGAGCCGCAGGGCGCUUUGCGCGACAGCGCAAAGGCAGGCGGU